UGUAAUACUGUUGUCUACAAAACUGUUGUUAAUGUCAUGUAAUGGACACUCAAAAUGAUUUGCCAUAUAUCGGAACAAACGAUUCGAUUUUGUCUCCUAAACUCAUCUGCAACCAGCUCGACAGAUGGGUGGGAUUAUUUGGUAGAGGUAGUAGCAUGCUAACGUGUACAUGAAAUACCUUAGUGACCUUGCCUCCCAGAAUCUGCUUAAACUUGUUACCCUAGGGACAAAUGAGCACGAAGACGGAUUCCAAUGAGCUGUUUAGUCACUCAACAUAUGGUAUUCUUAGGGAGUUGGAUCAAAGCGAAUUGGAACCAAUCCUGGAAAGGAAAAAACCUAAAUUUGAAGAUACGAGAGGACAACUAUCCGGACUGGUGUGUGAAUCUUAGGCAGCCUAUCAAUGCUCGACCUUUGUCCAUCUCUACGGAUGAUUUGUUCUCAUCAAGGUGGGUGGAAUUGAAGUCGAAGAGGAAUAUGGAGGUAGGAGUUUCUUGCACUUAUGAUCUGUAACCAUUGUAUAGGUAUUGUACAUAUCCUUGCACAGACAUGAGGGAGGAAACUUCUAUCCCGGUACUGGAGCGGCUGAUGAGGUACCUAUGCUCUUUUGUUUUACAUGUCUCAUCCAACAUUCAUUAGUAGAUGUAGUUGUUGGUAUAUAUAUGCAUAUACCUUAUAUGUAUAUGGUGUGCAUUAUAUCUGAAAUUUUGGGAUUUUUUUUUUAACUUUCUGCUCGUUUCCGAAGUCUAUUUUGAAUUUUCUCUGUGCAGCAGAGGAAUAUCUUCUAAGCGUGUAGGUUGGUACCUUCCCUUCUGCAUUUUCUCCAGAUUUUGUCAUCAUAUCAGCGGGAUUUGAUGCAGCUAGAGGAGACCCAUUAGGAUGCUGUGAUGUAACCUUCAAAUUCGA